GAUGAACGCUGGCGGCGUGCCUAAUACAUGCAAGUCGCGCGAACAGACGAGGAGCUUGCUCCUCUGACGUUAGCGGCGGACGGGUGAGUAACACGUGGAUAACCUACCUAUAAGACUGGGAUAACUUCGGGAAACCGGAGCUAAUACCGGAUAAUAUAUUGAACCGCAUGGUUCAAUAGUGAAAGACGGUUUUGCUGUCACUUAUAGAUGGAUCCGCGCCGCAUUAGCUAGUUGGUAAGGUAACGGCUUACCAAGGCGACGAUGCGUAGCCGACCUGAGAGGGUGAUCGGCCACACUGGAACUGAGACACGGUCCAGACUCCUACGGGAGGCAGCAGUAGGGAAUCUUCCGCAAUGGGCGAAAGCUUGACGGAGCAACGCCGCGUGAGUGAUGAAGGUCUUCGGAUCGUAAAACUCUGUUAUUAGGGAAGAACAAAUGUGUAAGUAACUAUGCACGUCUUGACGGUACCUAAUCAGAAAGCCACGGCUAACUACGUG
rnacentral:rRNA from 1 species